rnacentral:rRNA from 1 species
GACGAACGCUGGCGGCGUGCCUAAUACAUGCAAGUCGAACGCAUUUUCUUUCACCGUAGCUUGCUACACCGAAAGAAAAUGAGUGGCGAACGGGUGAGUAACACGUGGGUAACCUGCCCAUCAGCGGGGGAUAACACUUGGAAACAGGUGCUAAUACCGCAUAAUUCCAUUUACCGCAUGGUAAAUGGAUGAAAGGCGCUUUUGCGUCACUGAUGGAUGGACCCGCGGUGCAUUAGCUAGUUGGUGGGGUAACGGCCUACCAAGGCUGCGAUGCAUAGCCGACCUGAGAGGGUGAUCGGCCACCCUGGGACUGAGACACGGCCCAGACUCCUACGGGAGGCAGCAGUAGGGAAUCUUCGGCAAUGGACGCAAGUCUGACCGAGCAACGCCGCGUGAUUGAAGAAGGUUUUCGGAUCGUAAAACUCUGUUGUUAGAGAAGAACAAGGAUGAGAGUGGAAAGUUCAUCCCUUGACGGUAUCUAACCAGAAAGCCACGGCUAACUACGUG